UUUUUUUUUUUUUUUUUUUUUUUUUUUUUUUUUGGGGGGGGGGGGGGGGUGAAAUUGUGAUCAAAAUGGAGCUGUGUGCAAGAUUGUGUAGUGUAGUAUGGAAAAGAAAGUCGGACUACUGGACUAGAAGGUUUGUUAUCGAUCGAUUUUGAAAGGCAGAAAUCCUCAAAAAGAACAAGAUUUUGAUGUACAAUAUCUUU
rnacentral:ribozyme from 1 species